rnacentral:sRNA from 14 species
UUGACAAUUGGACCGUGAAGGCAUACUUUCAGGAGUGAGGGUAGAGCUGGGUUUCCCCCGCCCUGGUAGUCUUAGUAUGCUGGGUAGCUAAUCACUAAGAGCACCACGAUGAUGAGUAUCUUCAUCAUGACCCUUUCCUUAUU